GUAAGGUUCUGGAUGAACCACCGGGCCUUGUGUCAGCAGAUUCUCCGAGACUGGAAUCUCCCAAGGAUCCUCCAAUGCCAACCUCCUCAGAAGAGGAAACCAAGGACGUCUUGGCCAGAAGGGGAUCACUGCAAUCACCCUGCAACGUUCUCUGGAAAUCUUCCUCAGGACAGCUUGAAUGAGAGGAACUGGGGGAAAGACAUAUACCAGAUGAAAGUGCCAUUUGAUUGAUAGAGCAUCUUGAUCCAGCGCCCUCAGAUGGAAUCUCCUUGAAACAAAACAAGGAACUUGAGUGUUCUGAGCUGUAGCCAUGAGAUCCACUUGGGGAAGACCCCACCUCUGGACCAAUUGCUGAAACACCGUCCUUGACAGGUGCCAUUCCGUGGCUUCUACCAGGUGUCUGCUGAGGAAGUCCGCCAAGACAGUCUCCUUUCCUGGAAGAUAGACCGCACGUAGACCUUCCACAUGUAUUUGUGCCCAGGUCAUGAUUGCUGAUACUUCUUUCAUCAGUG